GAUGAACGCUGGCGGCGUGCCUAAUACAUGCAAGUCGAGCGAACAGACGAGGAGCUUGCUCCUCUGACGUUAGCGGCGGACGGGUGAGUAACACGUGGAUAACCUACCUAUAAGACUGGGAUAACUUCGGGAAACCGGAGCUAAUACCGGAUAAUAUAUUGAACCGCAUGGUUCAAUAGUGAAAGACGGUUUUGCUGUCACUUAUAGAUGGAUCCGCGCCGCAUUAGCUAGUUGGUAAGGUAACGGCUUACCAAGGCAACGAUGCGUAGCCGACCUGAGAGGGUGGACGGACACAGGGGAAGUGAGCCCGGCCCGGAGCCCUAGGGGGAGGAGCGGGGGGGGACUGUCCGGGAGGGGGGAGAGGCGGGAGGGACAACGCGGGGGGGGGGAGGAAGGUUGUUGGGUGCGAAAACUUGUUUUAUGGGGAAGAAAAAAAGGGGAAGGAAACUAGCCCGUCUGGGAGGUACCGAAAGAAAAAAGCGCGGACAAGCACGGGG
rnacentral:rRNA from 1 species